UUAUCAAAAUAAAGAAACCUGAGAAAGAUGCUGAACAAGGAGUGAUGAUUCCUUGGCUAAGUAAUGCACUCCCUUUCUCAGGAAGAAAACUUUUGAACAUAUUUAAGAUAAUGAUAAACUGCACCAAUUUCAGAGGGCAAAAGAUGAGAAGGUACAGUAUUUUGUUUGUGUGUCUCAAAAACUCAGGGGUAGUUAGUAAACUGUGCUUGCAUUAGCCUUUAUACUACAUAAACUGUGUAUAUUAUAGCCUAUUUUCCACAAUAAAACUGGUAGAUACUCUGUGCAAGAACAGUUUAGUUUGGAAUGUUUAUUUCUGAUAGCAAAGCAAUUCCUUCUACAGAGGCAGUUUUAUCACUUUCACUUAAUAAAAUGAAUUUAUUCCAAACUCUGUUGCCCCCUUCUUUGCUCAGAAUAUAUUUAUUCCACAAUUCUAAAUCUUCUUACUCUGUAAAUGCUUAUUUUUCUGCAGAUCCAUUAUCCAGUAUUUUAUAAAAUAAAAAUUCUUAAUAACUAAAUGACCAUCCUUUUAAGUGCUUAAAUAUAGUGAUUCCAAUUAUUAUUUUAUUGGCUGCAAACAAUGGUGCUUGCAGUUGAAUAGUACCAAUGUUUUCUCAGCAGGACUAUAAAUAUGUGUUAUUCUUCCUCUUUAAGUAACUAGUCCUAAGUGAACAAACUAUAAACUUUUAUAUAGUAAGAAUGGUUUAAAGCUUCCCCUAAUAAAUCUUCUCAGUCUUAGGCUAUACUUCCAUACCACUGAAAGAAAUAGCUGAUUUUGCACAAGUUUUGAAAUACAGUGUUUUCCAAAGUAUAUGCUUCAUCAGCAAUUUAUUUUAACAUCCACAUCUCCCUCUCAAAGGGAAUUCAAACUAAUUAUGUAUUGUCCCAAAUGCCUAGAUACCAUUGAUACCAUAUGAAUUCAUAUAUUAUUCAAAAAGCUGGUUUUUUACUUAUUAAUAUGAUUCUUAUUAGGUAAACUGUUACUCCAAUUCUAGAGAGAGUGUCAAAAGAUGAAAGAAGUAGACAUGUAUUUCUUCAGAGAAACAAGCAAAAUGAUUUCUAUUCUUAAAAAAUAAUUUGGCUCAUGUAACAUAAAACUUGAUUUUGGUUUAAUAUAUCAAAAUCCUAAUAAAAUAAUUCCUAUAGCUACAUCAAGUUUUAGAUUUUAAAUCCUUUCAUUGUGUCCCCAAUCUUAUUGUGCUAUUUAAUGAGGCAACAAGAACAAAUUAUAAUAGUUUCUUUCCAAUAUCAUAAAACUUGAAUUAAAUGUAUACAUUUGUACCACAAAAAGAACAGCAGAUGCUAAGAUUCUCUCUCUUGCAAUGAAACCAAUUUCUCAUGGAAGCAAUGAGUAAAUGAUUCUGAAAACU